CGAGCUUCCGGAGGAUCACGGGGAGGAGGAGGAGGAGGAAGGUGCUCAUGUGGAAGCUGCUGGGACCGUUGAACCUCUGGCUGAAGCAUCGAACCAAAGAGACGUUAAUCCAGGUCACCCCUCGCCCAGCACUCGUAGGAUUGGCCAAAGGAGGACAGCAGCCGGGAGGUCAAAGGUCGCCAGUUCAGAGGAUGACGCCACAGAGCAGGUUGGACGGGUGGUGGAGGAUGUCCCCAUAUCCAGCAGCAUGGAUCGGAAAACCCGAGCCAAGCAGAAAGCAGCGACGGCAACAUCGGCGGCAGUGGCAGUCGAGUCAAGCGGAGGGGCAGGAAGUGACGUCGCCACAGCCCCACGUGACGACAAGACAGGAAGUGACGUCGCCAGAACCCCAUGUGACUCCAGGACAGGAAGUGACGUCGCCACAGCCCCACGCGACGACAAGACAGGAAGUGACGUCGCCAGAGCCCCAUGUCACGACAGGACAGGAAGUAACGUCGCCACAGCCCCACACGACGACAAGACAGGAAGUGACG